rnacentral:lncRNA from 1 species
AGGUUUCAUUUUAGCAGGUAAAUUGGUUUUUUUUUAUAUAAUUAGUACUGCUUUUUUAAUAGUCAUCUUAAUGGUUUAUCUUGUCUUUCUUUAAAAUUGUAUUCACUGAAUGAGAUUUACCAAAUAAUGUUUCAGUACUUGAAAAAACAUACAAACUACGUAUUGAGAUUAGUUUACAUUCAACUCUUGCGUUAUUCAAUGAUAUAAAAAUGACUUUUUUGCGUUUCUACAAACACGUGAAGGCUGUAACUGAUUCUAGCAUAAAUCUAACUGAUUAAGUAUUAACUGUAUUACAGUGCUGUUAUUAAAAAGGGAUCAAAAUGUCGAAGUUGGUGAUUUUUCUUCUUCUUGCUGGUCUUUUAGGUAAGUAUAUUCUUUAAUUAAUCUACAUUUUAUUUAAAGAUUUUGAGAUAGAUAUUUUAGUAAAUAUCUUUAUAUAAAUGUAAAGGUACCCAAUUUACGAGACUCGCGUCUGGCGUACUAAAUUAUAAUCCUGGUACCUUUGAUAACUAUUUACACCACUGGGUCGAUGCCACUGCUGGUGGACGUUUCGUCCCCGAUGGUAUCACAAGCACAGUAGUCAACACUUCGGUGUUGACAUGAAUAUCAAUAAUGUGGUCAUUUUUAUAAAUUUCCUGUUUACAAAACUUUGAAUUUUUCGAAAAAAACUAAGGAUUUUCUUAUUCCAGGCAUAGAUUACCUUAGCCGUAUUUGGCACAACUUUUUGGAUUUUUGGAUCCUCGAUGCUUUUCAACUUUGUACUUGUUUGGCUUUAUAAAUAUUUUGAUAUGAGCGUCAAGGAUGAGUUUUAUGUAGACGAAACUCGCGUCUGGCGUCCUAAAUUAUAAUCCUGGUACCUUUGAUAACUAUUACUACAUAGUGAAGGAAUUUUGAUAAUUAAUGGCUUUUAACCGAUGAUCGAUGCCAAAAUUUUUGAAAACACACAAUCUUAUGCAAACGUUUAAAAGUAUAUAUAACUGAAAAGGUCAAAGAGUGGAUCUAUACCAAAGAAUGUAAAACAGGUAUAUAAAUUAUAUGCAAUGAGGAGAUGCAUGUUUUACUCAUUUUAAUUUUAAAUGAUUUCAUAACAGUAAAUUUCAAUUGAACAAUAUCCAUUAUAUUAUUAAUUCACUUUUAUUAAAAGAUUGAAUAUAUAUCAAAUUUUAUCGUGCCAAUGUGAAAUUUGAAAAAUAUUAUUUUACACGGGAAAGACAUACACAGUGUGUAAUUAUUAUUCAGUAAACUGAUUUAUUUUUAAGUUAUCCCUGAUUCCGUGGACGCUUGUUAUUGGAGGUGUGUUAGGUAUUGUAGUAAUAGAAGAGGGUGCUGUAGAUGGCAGAGGGUAUGUUAUGCACGUAAACGCUCAACCGAGAAUGAAGUCAAACUAGGUAUGUAACAACCAAUAUUAAAAUAUCUUUAGUAAUCUAGUUGUUUAGUUGUUCAAUAUGUUAAAAAUGAAGAUUGAUCAUUUUAGUUAAUUUUUGCAGAUAAGACCAAUAAAUGAUGUAAUUUGGUUGACGAUGACAUUUAGACUUUAAAAGGCUUUUUUUUUCUUUAGUUUUUUGAUUAUUUUUGAUUAUGUUUAAAAAUCGUUUCACAAAAAAGUGCAAGUUAUAACGGAAAUGCCAGAACAUUCAAACUUAGUUUCGAUAACCAUGAUAUACACUGAGCAUACGUGCCUUAGUGUUUGUCUAAAAAUUACAUUCAAUUAGAAUUUUACAAAAUCUUAAAUAAAAUAAUAAAACGAAUAUUCAAAAAGAUGAAAUCGAUGGAAUUCAAGGAUUAAGUCAGAACAUGUAUACAUUUAAGUAGAGCACCUGCUCGGUAUGCAAAACAAGAAAGCAACAUGCAUUCCAUCGAUUUCAUCUUUUUGAAUAUUCGUUUUAUUAUUCUAUUUAAGAUUUUGAAAAAUUCUAAUUGAAUGUAAAUUUUAGACAAACACUAAGGCACGUAUGCUCAGUGCUAAGGAUAAAAUUAUAAUGAAUAAAAAUUAACGCAACGAGAAAUCAAAGAAGAGUAAAUUUAUAUUGUAUAAAAAUAACAUAAAUUAGAAAUUAUGAAAAAAAAUACGCAUCUGUGAAUGCUUUGUAUUGAUCAGAACAAAACACUCCACGACAAUUCUAUGUAGAUGUAAAUCUUAAUAUUACUUUAUUCUCAUAUUUUACAGAUGAGCUAGAAGAUAACGUAAUUCACGAAACCUACUAAGCAGAUGGCAAACUGAUGCUUUCAAAUAAUAAAAAAUUG